AUCUGUUUCCGGAAAUUUGAUAUUGCAUAUUGCCAAAUCAAAUUUCCAAAUAAACAAAAAAACUUAACGGUUUGAAAAACAACUUCUAUCAAAGGUGAGAUGCUAAGCCCUUGUGAAACUCUUUGUUUUUCUAUUAUUAGACUAAAUCGAAGUUUAAUUUCAGUUAAAUUUAAAGUUAUACAGUAAAUAACAGCUAUGGGAUUAGCUUCUAUCUUGGUAUCCGUUUUCGUUUCAAAUGGUUUGGGCUUUCUUUGGUGGUCUCCCGGAUUAUUUGGAAAAAUUUGGGCUGAAUGUUGCUAUCCAGGAAAGUCGUUUGACGAAAUUGGAAAAGAUUGCUCCCCAUACGUUCAUCUCUCAGCCGGAAUUGCCCAUGCUGCCGUAGCGUUGCUUAUUCAGCUCUUAAUGGCGAUGCUGCAUUUAGGCUCCCUAUCUACCUUGAUAUGCUUAAUCGGAGCUCUAAGUGGAAUUGUUAUAAUGACGCAGAUACCACAUCAUUUAUACGGAGGAAAGCAUAUUAUUUCUUGGUUUAUUGAACAAGGAUACGAUUUGAUGAAAAUUAUAUUCACCUGCGUUAUUAUCUAUUAUCUAGAUUAUGUUCUAAAACUUCCUUUCUAGAUGACGAAUUUCCGAUCAUAAAAAGCAGCGAUACUUCCUAACAAAGAAACACAAUUAGCAGGCUACUUUUUUUAUAUGAUUAAACGAUUAUUAUAUCUUGCCAUUUUUUUUUAAUAAAGUAAAAAUAGCAUCUUAAA
rnacentral:misc_RNA from 1 species